GACGUGACUUGCUCCUCCUUGCCUUCAUCAUGAUUGUGAGGCUUCUCCAGCAACGUGGAACUGAAGUGACGGCAGCCCUGUGACUGUUAACCCGGAAAACUGCGAGAGGCUUUCCCAUGGAGGGGUCCUCACACCUGGGUUCACCCCUGCCGGAAGACACUGCUGCAUUGUGUGCAGCAGCUGCAAGGCCUGCGUGAUGGAAGGCGAGAGCCCCUGGCCGGCUGCCCUGGGGCCCCCGCAGCCUCGGAAGCCUGCCCACCUGCAGGUGUGGUUUGCACAGGACGGCACAUCCCUCCUCGUCCUGGGUUUAAGCUUAAACACACAGGUGGAGAGACCAAGGAGCUGAGGCGCUAAGGAGAUGACCUAAGGUUGCAAAGUGAAAAGCAAGGCCAAGGAGGGGCUUCAUUUCAAAUACCAGAUGCGGGGCCGGCCCUCCAUCCACUCCUCGGAACGCGGCACUCCGCGGCCUCCCGGGUAGACGGUCUCCACCACUACUUGCUUCUGUUCAUCUCUGACGGCAGAGUUAAAUAAAAUUAAUACUAUUAUUGA
rnacentral:lncRNA from 1 species